UACGUAGGGUGCAAGCGUUAAUCGGAAUUACUGGGCGUAAAGCGUGCGCAGGCGGUUAUGUAAGACAGUUGUGAAAUCCCCGGGCUCAACCUGGGAACUGCAUCUGUGACUGCAUAGCUAGAGUACGGUAGAGGGGGAUGGAAUUCCGCGUGUAGCGGUGAAAUGCGUAGAUAUCUGGAGGAACACCGGUGGCGAAGGCGGCUUCCUGGACCGACACUGACGCUGAGGCGCGAAAGCCAGGGGAGCAAACGGG
rnacentral:rRNA from 1 species